UACAGGGGGUGCAAACGUUGCUCGGAAUCAUUGGGCGUAAAGCGCACGUAGGCGGUCUGUUAUGUCGGAUGUGAAAGCCCUUGGCUUAACUGAGGAAGUGCAUCCGAAACUGGCAGGCUAGAGUACCAAAGAGGGUCGCGGAAUUCCCGGUGUAGAGGUGAAAUUCGUAGAUAUCGGAAAGAACACCAGUGGCGAAGGCGGUCAACUGGUCCGGUACAGACACUAAAGCACGAAAGCAUGGGGAGCAAACAGG
rnacentral:rRNA from 1 species